rnacentral:lncRNA from 1 species
AUUUUUAGUCUUCAGCUGAACUACUGCCAGUGUGCUGCGCUGCAUGCUGGGACUGUACAGCCAGGAGGUACUGUGUUAAACUCUCUCACAUAAGGAUGUGCAGUGAGCAGGACUUCAUCUUCAAUCACCCAAAAGAAAAGUGAAGGAGAAAGCCCACUUUUGCCUGGUGAGCCUCAAAGUCUUAGAGGACACAACGACCAAUUCCAUCAGGAUUUUGUUUAAGGAAAAAAUGAGCCUGCAAGAAAUGCACAUUAAUAGCAGCUUCUUCCCUGAGGAAGGUUUUGAACUGAAGUACUUGAGAAGAAACUUACAACAGAGCAGCCUAGAGUGCCACCCCGUCCCUUUUAAUUAGCACACAUGAAUAGUAUUUAAUGUAAAAUAUCUAUCAACAUUUGUUUACAAAGACAAAAAACCUGGAAGCCAAUGUCCGGAACUGUUUUCUCCUGUCUCACUUCUUUCCCAGCAUGUUACUGAAGACACUGGAAAAAAGAGAAGGGCUGAAUCAGUUUGGAAAACUGUGGAUUCUUCUGAACACUUGGACACUGCUAGCUUCCCAUGUGUGGGAGGAAUAUUUUACUGCCCAUCAACCCACUGCUUGAACAAUUUAAUCAGGUUGUUAAAACAAUUUAACCCUGGAGAAGAUUAGCUCAGAAGAAGAUACCUUUUCUGCCUCAAAAGCUACACCCAUUGUCCCAUGAUCUCUCUCUCUCAGUCUCAUAGACAAAGGUGUAAUAAAAUGGAUCCUUGCCCACGUGAAAGAGCCUCC